rnacentral:tRNA from 1 species
AAUUAAUGAGCUUGUUUAAGUUUCUAUUUUGAAAAUAGAAGAAAGAAUUAAAUUCUAUUAAUUU